rnacentral:lncRNA from 10 species
UCUAGCUACUCUGGUGGGGACUUGGAGAACCUUUGUGUCCCCACUCUGUAUCUAGCUAAUCUGGUGGGGACGUGAAGAACCUUUGUGUCUAGCUCAGGGAUUGUAAAGGCACCAGUCAGCACCCUGUCAAAACAGACCACUUUGCUCUCUGUAAAAUGGACCAAUCAGCAGGAUGUGGGUGGGGCCAGAUAAGAGAAUAAAAGCAGGCUGCCCAAGCCAGCAGUGGUAACCCCCUUGGAUCCCCUUCCACACUGUGGGAGGUUUGUUCUUUUGCUCUUUGCAAUAAAGCUUGCUGCUGCUCACUCUUUGGGUCCAGACUGUCUUUAUGAGCUAUAACACUCACCGGGAAGGUCUGCAGCUUCACUCCUGAAGCCAAGGAGACCACGAACCCACCGGGAGGAAGGAACAACUACAGACACGCCGGCUUAAGAGCUGUAGCACUCACUGCGAAGGUCCGCAGCUUCACUCUUGAGCCAGAGACCACGAACCCACCAGAAGGAAGAAACUCCAAACACAUCCGAACAUCAGAAGGAAAAAACUCCAGACACGCCGCCUUUAAGAACUGCAACACUGCGAGGGUCCGCGGCUUCAUUCUUGAAGUCAGUGAGACCAAGAACCCACCAAUUCCAGACACACUACCAAAGGCAGAGGGGAGCUCCUAGACAAAGAUAUUUUGCUUACAAAUGGAACAUAUCAAAUCAAGCUUUUGUGAACUUGAGGGAAGAAACAAAGAAUAUGAAGCCUAAAUGGAAGUGUCAGGAAAUGGUCGCCUUGCGGACAAGGAAACAGCAGCCUGGAAGGCCAGGAGAGGGCAGACUACCCACCUAACCCUCUGCAGAAUUUUGUGUGGACCCUGGAGACCAGAAACUAACUUCUCCUGCAGAGACAAGGUCUUGCUCUGUCACCCUGGCUGGUCUUGAACUCCUGGCUUCAAGCAAUUCAUCCAUCUCAGCCUCCUGAGUAGCUGGGAUUACAGAAAAAACAGUGAAGCAUAGACAGUUUUUGCAAGAGGCCCAAGAUCAUACAUCAAAUAUGUGCACAGCCAGGACCUGAACCAGUUGAUAUCUACAAAUGCCUGGCUUUUGCCACUGGGCUCCUUCAGUCGUGCUGGUGAUUGCUGGGAAGAGAUGGAGAUAAGCAGCCUUGACUCACUCCGG